rnacentral:rRNA from 1 species
CCUACGGGUGGCAGCAGUAGGGGAUAUUGCUCAAUGGAGGAAACCCUGAUGCAGCAACGCCGCGUGGGGGAUGAAGGUUUUCGGAUUGUAAACUCCUUUUGUUAGGGAAGAUAAUGACGGUAUCUAACGAAUAAGCACCGGCUAACUCCGUGCCAGCAGCCGCGGUAAUACGGAGGGUGCAAGCGUUGCACGGAAUUACUGGGCGUAAAGAGCGCGUAGGCGGGCGAGCAAGUUGAAUGUUAAAUCUACUAGCUUAACUGGGAGCUGAGUUUAAAACUUGUUGUAUUGAGUGAUGUAGAGGCAGGCGGAAUGUCUAGUGUAGCGGUGAAAUGCGUAGAUAUUAGGAGGAACACCAGUGGCGAAGGCGGCCUGGUGGGCUUUAACUGACGCUGAGGCUCGAAAGCGUGGGGAGCAAACAGGAUUAGAUACCCCUGUAGUC